rnacentral:rRNA from 1 species
AGCGAACGCUGGCGGCAGGCCUAUCACAUGCAAGUCGAACGAAGUCUUCGGACUUAGUGGCGGACAGGUGAGUAACACGUGGGAACGUGCCUUUAGGUUCGGAAUAACUCAGGGAAACUUGUGCUAAUACCGAAUGUGCCCUUCGGGGGAAAGAUUUAUCGCCUUUAGAGCGGCCCGCGUCUGAUUAGCUAGUUGGUGAGGUAAAGGCUCACCAAGGCUACGAUCAGUAGCUGGUCUGAGAGGAUGACCAGCCACAUUGGGACUGAGACACGGCCCAAACUCCUACGGGAGGCAGCAGUGGGGAAUCUUGCGCAAUGGGCGAAAGCCUGACGCAGCCAUGCCGCGUGGAUGAUGAAGGUCUUAGGAUUGUAAAAUCCUUUCACCGGUGAAGAUAAUGACUGUAGCCGGAGAAGAAGCCCCGGCUAACUUCGUGCCAGCCGCCGCGGUAACAC